GAAACGGUGGAGGUGGAUGGUUUGGACAAGACCGCAGAAGUAAUGUAUAUUUUUUGUUGCCACAACACUAGCGAUGAAAGUUUGAUUGAUAUGUUCAUGGAACCUGGAAAUGUUUUCGAGGGAGAGCCAUCUACUAACACUGGUUCUGGGGUUGUUUCUUAUGCCAGAGUCAAGCUCCAACUCAAAACUUUUUCUGCCAAGAUUGAAUCCAAGGGUAAUUUUAACCUUGGUGAUUAUGUAAAUCUUUAUAUGUUUGCUGUUGGAGAUGAAGACCAAUAAUUGUAAGAAAUUCUUUGUUUAAGACGUUGAAAUUAAAGAAGAAUAUUUGCACAGUAUCCUAAAAUUGAAAACUCCCAAAUCCUGAAAGAAAAAUUACACCUUGUAUGGCCAUUAUUUUUUAAUAUUUUAACUAAUGAAUAUACUCACCAUAAAAUUGUCAGAAUCUAGCAACAAAUAAAUGUAUAUUCAACAAAAUUAAUGCUAUCCAAUUUUAUUGAAAAUGUGCUUAAAUUUAAUGAUAGGUCUGCUCAUCUUCGCUUAUUGGUUUUACUGAUCUGUAUAUUUUUGCACUUGGUUCCAAUAUUCCAUUAUGUUUGAGGGUGCUUCUUGUUGGUGGCACUCAUGCCUAUGAAGAAGGAAGGAAUGCAAAUUAAUUUGUUAAUUGCUAUUGUACUCUUGAUUUUCGGAUUUCAAUCUUGACCUCCAAAAUAUUAAUGAUGAUGGGGAGUUGGAAAGCGACCAAGAUUAAUUGUGUUAAAUUUGUUUAGUGACUAGACAUUGGUUUUUAUUUCUUUCUUUUUUAUCUUGUUUGACAUUGUAUGUUUCUUGUGUUUUUAGUUUAUGUUCAGACGUGAUCAUAGUUGUAUAAAUUUUAAAAAUUAAUCUUGUUUGUUAGAUUCGAA